AAACGACUCUCGGCAACGGAUAUCUAGGCUCUCGCAUCGAUGAAGAACGUAGCAAACUGCGAUACUUGGUGUGAAUUGCAGAAUCCCGUGAACCAUCGAGUCUUUGAACGCAAGUUGCGCCCGAAGCCAUUAGGCCGAGGGCACGUCUGCCUGGGCGUCACGCAUCGCGUCGCCCUCCCCACGCCUCGA
rnacentral:rRNA from 1 species